UUUAUUUAAACAUCUGUUUGGGUUUAUAUGUGUAGCUAUCUAUUCAUCUGUUUACUAUGUGGUUAGUUCUAGACACCCUAGUCAAUAACAUCAGAUGAGUUUGUGUGUAUACUGUUUUUUUACUGUUACUAGCAACAUAAAUUUCAUUUCACAAUGUUUUCAAUUUGGCAGGGUAAACAAGGGAUCAAUUGGAUUAAAAAAUUACCAUUUCUGAAAUAUAAAUUUUAUUUGGAAGCUCACAAGAUGCAACUGCACCAGAGCAGAAAAAGCAAGUUCGAAGCACUCUACAGACUGUGACAGAGCUUAAUACUCAGUUAAGAACAAACAAGAAUUAAAAGAAAAAUAAUGUUUUAUUCAGAAACCUUGAACAAUCCUCGGACCCUGGGGAAAGCCAGCCCACAGCUUAAAUAGCCUCUGGGUAGCCAACCCAGGCGUGCCACGGGGGCAAUGCAGAUAGGUCCACAUACAUGGAAGCAAGCCAGAUCCUCAGCCUUAGCCAAAUGUGGAAUUGUUCGUGACAGAGAGCACUCACCAUCGGGAAGGUGGAAGGCGGAAACCAGCUCCAUCUUUAAGGCAUAGCAUUCCGCAGCUCUCUACAGUUCCCCCUUUUUGUUUUAGAUGCAUCAGGCAAGAGUAGAGGUCUGAUCUCUGAUAUUAGAAAUAAAUUGGGACUUUGUACCGAUGUUCGUUUAAAAGGUGUUUUGUUAUGACUUUGCAUAAGUCCUAAAAAAUGUUUGAAAUUUACUUUGAAAUCCAUUUAAUAUUUUUCAUUAUUUGAUAAACCAAAGGUUGCUGCAGCUCUCAAUCAAAUGACUAUUAAAUUGGUUUGAGAGUAUGAGAUGUGAAGCUCUGGGUUUAUCAUCACCA